rnacentral:rRNA from 1 species
UACAGAGGUGGCAAGCGUUGUUCGGAAUUACUGGGCGUAAAGGGCGCGUAGGCGGUUUCGUAAGUCCUGUGUGAAAUCCCCCGGCUCAACUGGGGAACUGCACAGGAAACUGCGAGGCUUGAGUUCGGGAGAGGGAAGCGGAAUUCCGGGUGUAGCGGUGAAAUGCGUAGAUAUCCGGAGGAACACCGGUGGCGAAGGCGGCUCCUGGACCGACACUGACGCUGAGGCGCGAAAGCCAGGGGAG